GGGGGCAUAGCUCAGUGGUAGAGUGUGUGCUUAGCAUGCACAAGGUCCUAGGUUCAAUCCCUAGUACCUCUG
rnacentral:tRNA from 1 species